GGGGGUAUAGCUCAGAGGUAGAGUGUGUGCUUAGCAUGCACAAGGUCCUGGGUUCAAUCCCCAGUAUCUCCA
rnacentral:tRNA from 1 species